CCUACGGGAGGCAGCAGUGAGGAAUAUUGGUCAAUGGCCGCAGGGCUGAACCAGCCAAGUCGCGUGAGGGAUGACGGUCCUAUGGAUUGUAAACCUCUUUUGUCAGGGAGCAAAGGGCGCCACGUGUGGCGUUUUGCGAGUACCUGAAGAAAAAGCAUCGGCUAACUCCGUGCCAGCAGCCGCGGUAAUACGGAGGAUGCGAGCGUUAUCCGGAUUUAUUGGGUUUAAAGGGUGCGCAGGCGGAAUGUCAAGUCAGCGGUAAAAUUUCGGGGCUCAACCCCGUCGUGCCGUUGAAACUGGCGGUCUUGAGUGAGCGAGAAGUAUGCGGAAUGCGUGGUGUAGCGGUGAAAUGCAUAGAUAUCACGAAGAACUCCGAUUGCGAAGGCAGCAUACCGGCGCUCAACUGACGCUCAUGCACGAAAGCGUGGGUAUCGAACAGGAUUAGAUACCCCAGU
rnacentral:rRNA from 1 species